rnacentral:tRNA from 1 species
CAGCAUUUAGUUUAAUUUAAAAUUUAAAUUUUGGGGAUUUAAGAUAUGUGAAGUACAUUUUGCUGA